rnacentral:rRNA from 1 species
UGGGGAAUUUUGGACAAUGGGGGCAACCCUGAUCCAGCCAUGCCGCGUGAGUGAAGAAGGCCUUCGGGUUGUAAAGCUCUUUCGGUGGGAACGAAACGGGUGCGGUUAAUAUCCGCACUUAAUGACGGUACUCACAGAAGAAGCACCGGCUAACUACGUGCCAGCAGCCGCGGUAAUACGUAGGGUGCGAGCGUUAAUCGGAAUUACUGGGCGUAAAGCGUGCGCAGGCGGCUUGCUAAGACAGGUGUGAAAGCCCCGAGCUUAACUUGGGAAUGGCGCUUGUGACUGGCAGGCUGGAGUGUGGCAGAGGGAGGUGGAAUUCCACGUGUAGCAGUGAAAUGCGUGGAGAUGUGGAGGAACACCGAUGGCGAAGGCAGCCUCCUGGGCCAACACUGACGCUCAUGCACGAAAGCGUGGGGAGCAAACAG